rnacentral:rRNA from 1 species
AAUUUUGGACACUGGGGGAAACCCUGCUCCAGCCAUCCCGCGCGUAUGAUGAAGGCCUUCGGGUUGUAAAGUACUUUUGGCUGAGAAGAAAAGGUCUCUCCUAAUACGAGAUACUGCUGACGGUAUCUGCAGAAUAAGCACCGGCCAACUACGUGCCAGCAGCCGCGGUAAUACGUAGGGUGCAAGCGUUAAUCGGAUCUACUGGGCGUAAAGCGUGUGUAGGCGGUUCGGAAAGAAAGAUGUGAAAUCCCAGGGCUCAACCUUGGAACGGCAUUUUUAACUGCCGAGCUAGAGUAUGUCAGAGGGGGGUAGAAUUCCACGUGUAGCAGUGAAAUGCGUAGAUAUGUGGAGGAACACCGAUGGCGAAGGCAGCCCCCUGGAAUAAUACUGACGCUCAGACACGAAAGCGUGGGGAGCAAACA